rnacentral:misc_RNA from 1 species
GGAAGUAAAAGUCGUAACAAGAUUUCCGUAGGUGAACCUGCGGAAGGAUCAUUAGAAAUGGCGGGGGAAGACUUGCUCUUCUCCCCAAAUCUCUAUUCUGUGCACUGUUUUUGUGUGCUGGGCUAGUUUCGGCUGGGUCAGCACGGGGUGGAGCUUUGGAAACUGUUUGCUAUGAAUUUUCCCCCGGGAAAGUUCCGCUGGAAACUUUUGACAUCUCCGCCGAAAUUUUAAUACUAAUACUGACUGACCAUGAAAAAGUUAAUAUAACAACUUUCAGCAAUGGAUCUCUCGGCUUUC